rnacentral:ncRNA from 2 species
AUACGUAAAGAAUUGCAAGAUAUUCUGUAUGAUAUGGAUAGACGAAUUAAAAGGGAAUCAAGUGAAAGUCUUGAACAGUCCCGCUGCUGUAAGCAAUAAUUAUUACGAAAUAAACACUAUGUCACUGAUAUAAUUGGGAAGACGUUUAUCUUCGUUUUGCAAAGUCAGAAGACCUGCCAUUAUGCUUUUUAAGUU